CUUAAAGCCACGAGGUUGCAUUUGAAUCUUACUGACUUCCGUACACACAAGCUUCUGGAAGGCUGAAAUUGCGCCAAAAAUUGUGAAAUGUUUGAGGUGUUUAGAAGCUGGCUUGUUUGGAAUAUCUGUCCAGCUCAAAAAUGGCUCCAGCGGUUAAACAGCUGAUGGCAUGGCAGGAUGGCUUUAUGGAAACUUCAAGCAUAUGACAGCUUAAUUUUCUUCCACAAGGUUGUGAGACCAGUUUGCAGCCUUAGGUCCCCAUCAUAUGUCCCAUGCAAGCCCAACCCAGAAAAUGCACAGCUAACAUUCAUAGUGAUGCUAAAGUUAUCAGAUCUACAGCACCAGUUGACAUACAGCCAACACUUAGUGUCUAUUUCAUUGUCAAAAGGAAUGUCUAUGCCUCCUUUGUUAUAACAGCUGGCUUGUUUGGAAUAUCUGUCCAGCUCAAAAAUGGCUCCAGCGGUUAAACAGCUGAAGGCAUGGCAGAAUGGCUUUAUGGAAACUUCAAGCAUAUGACAGCUUAAUUUUCUUCCACAAGGUUGUGAGACCAGUUUGCAGGUGAUGCUAAAGUUAUCAGAUCUACAGCACCAGUUGACAUACAGCCAACACUUAGUGUCUAUUUCAUUGUCAAAAGGAAUGUCUAUGCCUCCUUUGUUAUAACAGAUCUAGCAAUGUGAAGCGAGAGGCCGUAAUGUACAAAGAGGUCUUCACCUCAACUGCGUUUGCUGACAUCCAGGCUGCAAGUUGAUUUUGUUUUAUAUACAGAUCUUCAAGCAUUGGACAAAAUGUCUACAUGAAACAGUUCUCCGUUACACCAGCCCAGGUGUUUUAACAGCUGGAGUAUGUGUGUGUUUUGUGCAACUCUGCUGCUCUCACAACUUGUGUACCCAUGGAAAGGGGUUGUCCUUGGCGUUCCUGUUUGAUCUAUAAACCUGGCUAUUUAAUAAAAUGCUAAUAAUGUGUUUCUGAUUAUCUGUUCUAUUAAUAAAGCUGUGACUGAUCUUA